rnacentral:rRNA from 1 species
UUUCCUACGGGGGGCAGCAGUGAGGAAUAUUGGUCAAUGGCCGGAAGGCUGAACCAGCCAAGCCGCGUGAGGGAGGAAGGCGCAGAGCGUCGCAGACCUCUUUUGCCGGGGGACAAAAGGCCGGACUCGUCCGGUCCUGAGGGUACCCGGAGAAAAAGCAUCGGCUAACUCCGUGCCAGCAGCCGCGGUAAUACGGAGGAUGCGAGCGUUAUCCGGAUUCAUUGGGCGUAAAGCGAGUGCAGGCGGUUCAAUAAGUCUGAU